rnacentral:lncRNA from 1 species
CACACACACAGGGCUACAGGUACACACACACACACAGGGCUACAGGUACACACACACACACACAGGGCUACAGGUACACACACACACAGGGCUACAGGUACACACACACACAGGGCUACAGGUACACACACACACAGGGCUACAGGUACACACACACAGGGCUACAGGUACACACUCACACACACACACACACACACACACACACAGGGAUACAGGUACACACACACACACAGGGCUACAGGUACACACACACACAGGGCUACAGGUACACACACACACACAGGGAUACAGGUACACACACACACACACACAGGGCUACAGGUACACACACACACACACAGGGCUACAGGUACACACACACACACAGGGCUACAGGUACACACACACACACACACACAGGGCUACAGGUACACACACACACACACACACACAGGGCUACAGGUACACACACACACACAGGG